CAGCGUAGUAAUAUUUCUUCUCGCUUCUGUAGUUGUCCUGGCGGCUUGCCGUUAAACCCCUAUAUUUUCUAGUGGUUGACCUCGGAUUAGGUAGGAAUACCCGCUGAACUUAAGCAUAUCAAUAAGCGGAGGAAAAGAAACCAACAGGGAUUGCCCUAGUAACGGCGAGUGAAGCGGCAACAGCUCAAAUUUGAAAUCUGGCCCUAGCGGUCCGAGUUGUAAUUUGUAGAGGAUGCUUUUGGUUAGGUGCCUUCUGAGUUCCCUGGAACGGGACGCCAGAGAGGGUGAGAGCCCCGUACGGUUGGACACCGAGCCUCUAUAUAGCUCCUUCGACGAGUCGAGUAGUUUGGGAAUGCUGCUCUAAAUGGGAGGUAAAUUUCUUCUAAAGCUAAAUACCGGCCAGAGACCGAUAGCGCACAAGUAGAGUGAUCGAAAGAUGAAAAGUACUUUGAAAAGAGGGUUAAAUAGCACGUGAAAUUGUUGAAAGGGAAGCGUUUGCGACCAGACUUUUUCCAGGCGGAUCAUCCGGUGUUCUCACCGGUGCACUUCGCCUGGUUUAGGCCAGCAUCGGUUCUCUUAGGGGGAUAAAGGCCUGGGGAACGUAGCUCCUUCGGGAGUGUUAUAGCCCCUUGCGUAAUACCCUUCGGGGGACCGAGGAACGCGCAUCUGCAAGGAUGCUGGCGUAAUGGUCGUCAACGACCCGUCUUGAAACACGGACCAAGGAGUCGAACAUUUGUGCGAGUGUUUGGGUGUUAAACCCUCACGCGUAAUGAAAGUGAACGGAGGUGAGAGCCCUUCGGGGUGCAUCAUCGACCGAUCCUGAUGUCUUCGGAUGGAUUUGAGUAAGAGCAUAACUGUUCGGACCCGAAAGAUGGUGAACUAUGCGUGGAUAGGGUGAAGCCAGAGGAAACUCUGGUGGAGGCUCGCAGCGGUUCUGACGUGCAAAUCGAUCGUCAAAUCUGCGCAUGGGGGCGAAAGACUUAUCGAACCAUCUAGUAGCUGGUUACCGCCGA
rnacentral:rRNA from 1 species